CCUACGGGUGGCUGCAGUGGGGAAUAUUGGACAAUGGGCGAAAGCCUGAUCCAGCCAUGCCGCGUGUGUGAAGAAGGCCUUCGGGUUGUAAAGCACUUUCAGUGGGGAAGAAGGCCUUGGGGCUAAUACCCUCGAGGAAGGACAUCACCCACAGAAGAAGCACCGGCUAACUCCGUGCCAGCAGCCGCGGUAAUACGGAGGGUGCGAGCGUUAAUCGGAAUUACUGGGCGUAAAGCGCGCGUAGGCGGUUUGAUAAGCCGGUUGUGAAAGCCCCGGGCUCAACCUGGGAACGGCAUCCGGAACUGUCAGGCUAGAGUGCAGGAGAGGAAGGUAGAAUUCCCGGUGUAGCGGUGAAAUGCGUAGAGAUCGGGAGGAAUACCAGUGGCGAAGGCGGCCUUCUGGACUGACACUGACGCUGAGGUGCGAAAGCGUGGGUAGCAAACAGGAUUAGAUACCCUUGUAGUC
rnacentral:rRNA from 1 species